UACGAGGGGGGCGAGCGUUGUUCGGAAUUAUUGGGCGUAAAGGGUGCGUAGGCGGUUCGGUAAGUCUCAUGUGAAAUCUACAGGCUCAACUUGUAGUCUGCAUGAGAAACUGCCGGGCUUGAGUAUGGGAGAGGUGAGUGGAAUUCCUGGUGUAGCGGUGAAAUGCGUAGAUAUCAGGAGGAACACCUGUGGCGAAAGCGGCUC
rnacentral:rRNA from 1 species